UAAAUCCUUCCCCACCAUCAGCAGAAAGCAAGCAGGGUUCAGAUCAGCACUGUGGCCAGGGAAGCUAGAAGGUCAAAGUCAGCUUUUUUUUUUUUUUUUUUUUUUGCGGUCCUUACUGAUUUUUUUUUUUUUUUUUUUUUUUUUUUUUUUUUUUUUUUUGCUGCCAAGCUUUUUUUUUUUUUUUUUUUUUUUUUUUUUUUUUUUUUUGAG